AGCUGGUUCCUGUGUUACUCUUCAGUUUUUUUCCCUGCCUAUCAUAAAUUUUGGUGCAAACUCUAGCUUGGUCUUGUGUCUCUGGAUCCUUCAUGGCCAGCAGCAGUGGUGUGGGGGUAAUAAUCCUGCAAGCCAACAGCAAGACACAUAUUGAAGAACCUUGAGGGAGUGGUUCCUGGGCUGCACAAGAGGAGAUCCCUAGGAAGAGAUGCAGAAAUCUUUGGAGCUUUGAAGUUGCUUCUAAAGAUAACAUUGAAAUGUGCAAUGAAAUGUACAAAUCUUCUGUGCACAGGUUUAAGGGAAAGAAACCUGCAGCUAAAUUUGAAAUGAUGGACAUCUUGAUCUUGAAAAGAUCUUGCUGUGGUUUGAGAUCCUGUUGGCUGUCUGAAGGGUGAGGUAAGAC
ensembl:lncRNA